AAAGCAGCGGAUUCCUCAGCAUAACUUCCUCUGUUCCUUGAAGUUUAGCCACUGGUCUAAUCUCUGAAAGUUUUUCCUGGCUUGCAUUGACUUGCUGCUCAGACAAUGAGCACUUUUUUAACCUGUCAGGAGCUGAAUUGCCUGGCCUGCCGUGGGGCUGACAGUGUGCCGCUGUUUCUGAGACUACUCUGUUCCUGAGCUGCAGCGCUGACACAAAUCUGUACAAGGGCUGAUUUGUCUGAGGGAGAUGGAAAAGACCUGCUGGGUUUCAGGGAGGGAGGCAGGCAAGCCAGAAGCAGACAAAGCAUGCUGCAAAUUGCCUGCUCAUCUGUGUCCUUCACUGCCUGGAUUGCUUCAUGGUGUUUACAUAGCAAAGCAAACUCUACAACAUCCCAGGGGCCCAAUGCUGCUGCCCCGGAAUACCGGAUAUCUUUGUAAUGCUCAGGACGAACCCGCAACAUCAAAUGAUCCCCCUCUUAUGGAACUUGGUACAUCAAGUCCUACAACAGACCCACUGGGGAAAUAUCAUGAUCCAGGUCUGUUUUUUAAGUUGUUGCUUCCUUCAAAUCCUGAGUCAGCUCUUCCCUCAGGUGUACACAUCUGAGUCUUGGGAAUAUAUUAUUCUACUUUUGUGCUGUUGUUUUCCAGCCAAAGACUCUCCUUAGAAAAAUUGUGAGCACAAACCAAUUUAACAGCAAUAUAAGCCUGUGAUUGUUUUAAACAAGUUUCCACCUUUUUCUACAGAAGUAGAAGCUGAAGGACAAAGAAUAUUUCAGACAUCUCAAAUAACACAGCCUAAAUAAUUGUCUGUCAAGGGACAGGAAAUGUAUCAUUUAAUAUAAAAUGCCAGGCAUUUUCCAUGAUCAGUGGCUAGCUAUUCUGUGCCAAGAAAAGAACACUAAUGAGGAAGAUAACAGCAGAAAAGGUCUGGUGGACCUGUGAAGUGUCUCAAUUUUUUCUGUGACACGUCUCUGUGCAGCACCUGUUUCUGGGUGUGUCUCAAAUGCCACGCUGCUCCCUCUGGGCUUCCUGGAGUGACUACUUUCUCAAGCCCACCUGUGCUCUUGACACCACAGCUACAGCCUGCAUGACUCUUCCUAGUUGCAGGCUCAGAAUGCUAAUGCUUUCUCAAAUCCUACUUUUGUGGGGCUUUGGGUGGUGGUGGUGGUCUCCACAGCAGCUGCUGGGGUAGUGUCAGGAGCUGAAGUGCCAAAGAUUUCACCUGCUCUCCCUAUUUCCUCCUCCUGUGGUCUCUCUGCUUCUUAUACUGAGGUAGGAAAGCCAGUUUUAGCUUCAUUGCACGUGGCUGUGCAGUUUUCUCAAAUUUCUAAUUUUUAUUAUUUUCCUUUUGGCAGAAAUAAGUCAACCAGGUCGAGACGGUAAGUUGACAACUUCAACAUAUUGUACUUUUGUUAAAUAUUUUUUUCUUUACCUAAGUUUUGAAUUUUUAACUUCUUUUACUGCAGUUGAUUAUAGAAUACAAAAGCUAUGUACGGGACUUGUCAUUAGCCUGAAAAACUCUGGUUUCAUAUAAUAGUAUUGAAGACACUUCUUAAUGGCAAGUCAUAGUAUUUCUCUGCUGAUUUAAGUAAUGACAGUAUUCA
rnacentral:lncRNA from 1 species